GUUUAAAUAUUUUAAAUAUAGAAUUGUAAUUUGUGGAAUUAUAGGUGUAAUAAUUUUACUUUAGACC
rnacentral:tRNA from 1 species